GGCGGGACGGAUGACUGGGGUGAAGUCGUAACAAGGUAGCCGUAUCGGAAGGUGCGGCUGGAUCACCUCCUUUCUAGGGAA
rnacentral:rRNA from 1 species